UACGUAGGGUGCGAGCGUUAAUCGGAAUUACUGGGCGUAAAGCGUGCGCAGGCGGUUGGGCAAGUCUGAUGUGAAAGCCCCGGGCUUAACCUGGGAAUGGCCGUCGAAACUGGCGAACUGGAGUGUGGCAGAGGGGGGUGGAAUUCCGCGUGUAGCAGUGAAAUGCGUAGAGAUGCGGAGGAACACCGAUGGCGAAGGCAGCCCCCUGGGCUGACACUGACGCUCAGGCACGAAAGCGUGGGGAGCAAACAGG
rnacentral:rRNA from 1 species